AGCGAACGCUGGCGGCAGGCCUAACACAUGCAAGUCGAACGAACUCUUCGGAGUUAGUGGCGGACGGGUGAGUAACACGUGGGAACGUGCCUUUAGGUUCGGAAUAACUCAGGGAAACUUUUGCUAAUACCGAAUGUGCCCUUCGGGGGAAAGAUUUAUCGCCUUUAGAGCGGCCCGCGUCUGAUUAGCUAGGUGGUGAGGUAAAGGCUCACCAAGGCGACGAUCAGUAGCUGGUCUGAGAGGAUGAUCAGCCACAUUGGGACUGAGACACGGCCCAAACUCCUACGGGAGGCAGCAGUGGGGAAUCUUGCGCAAUGGGCGAAAGCCUGACGCAGCCAUGCCGCGUGAAUGAUGAAGGUCUUAGGAUUGUAAAAUUCUUUCACCGGGGACGAUAAUGACGGUACCCGGAGAAGAAGCCCCGGCUAACUUCGUGCCAGCAGCCGCCGUAA
rnacentral:rRNA from 1 species